rnacentral:lncRNA from 1 species
GAAAAACAGAGUGCUGAAUGUAUCACUGAACCUCUCACCGGAAAACUCAACGAUCUUCUCACCGAUUCCGAUGACUACGAUUCAAGCGAGUUUUCUUUUGAAGAAGAAACUAUAGAGGAAGUCAUGCAAGAGUUUUACAAAGAGAUCAUUGCUUUGUUAGAAUAUUUUCUAAUAUUUUGUGGGCUGCAAUCAAUUGUGGCUUUUGAUUUUAAUAAAAACG